rnacentral:rRNA from 1 species
GACGAACGCUGGCGGUGUGCCUAAUACAUGCAAGUAGGACGCAGUUGCGAACGGGUGAGUAACGCGUAGGUAACUACCUAUUAGAGGGGGAUAACUAUUGGAAACGAUAGCUAAUACCGCAUACUAGUAGAUGGACCUGCGUUGUAUUAGCUAGUAGGAAGGGUAAUGGCCUACCUAGGCAACGAUACAUAGCCGAACUGAGUGAGUGAUCGGACACACUGCGCGCGAGACACGGCCCAGACGCCUACGGGAGGCAGCAGUAGGGAUUCUUCGGCAAUUGGGGUAACCCUGACCGAGCAACGCCGCGGGAGUUAAGAAGGUUUUCGGAUCGUAAAGCUCUGUUGUUAAGGAAGCGGUACUUAACCAGAAAGGGACGGCUAACUACGUGCCAGCAGCCGCGGUAAUUC